AUGGUCGGCGCCGGAACCAACACCACCAUGGAAGCCCGGAAGCUGCGGGUGGUGCUCUACCCGUCGCCGGGCAUGGGGCAUCUGGUCUCCAUGAUCGAGCUCGGCAAGCACUUAGCCGCCCGUGCACUGACCGUCACGGUCGCCCUCAUCGAUUCCCCGCAUGACACCAGCGCCACGGGUCCCUUCCUCGCCGGCGUCUCCGCGGCCAACCCCUCCAUCUCUUUCCACCGUCUGCCACAGGUCGAGCUCCUCUGGUCUGAGCCGCCCGUGAUGCUGACCUUCGAGGUCGUUCGCCUCUCCAACACGCACCUCCAUGACUUUCUCGCCGGCGACUCCCCAGCCGUCAUCGUGCUGGACUUCUUCUGCAGUGCCGCUAUCGGCGUGGCCGAGGAGCUCGGCAUCCCCGCGUACUUCUUCUGCGCCUCUGGGGCCCAGAUCCUGGCUUUCUUCUUGCACCUCCCGGUUCUGCACGGUAAAAGCACCAGGAGCUUCGGGGAAGAGGGCGAUCGUCACGACGUCAUCGAUGACAGUAUGCGCAAAGAAAAAAUAAACGUCAUCGAUGACAAAUGGAAUCAGACUUGUCGCCUCAGCUAA
rnacentral:rRNA from 1 species